CCGAACCGGGGCGGAGUCGCGGCUGCCGCGGCGGAGCUCCGGCUUGGGAUGGCGCCCUCCCUCUCUCACACACGCUCUCCUCACACACACCGGCCGCCUGGCCCACGAGCCAAGAGAAGCUGCCCCGGGCAUGUUACUCGUGUCCUGCAGACAUUAAUCACCCCAAGAAGACUUGAUAAAAUGGUGCUCAUGAACACGGAAAGCUGAAGAUGAGGCUCUGGAUUUAUGAUAAACCUGAACACAGGAUUAGCCUAAAGAGGAGACCUUGCAUCAUGAACACCUUUGUCAUCAGCCAUCUUUCUAGCCUACUCUAACUUCACUCCUCCUCCCCAAGCCACCCUUAGAGGAAAUCACAACUAGUUUUAUUUUUUUUUAUUUUUUAGCUUUUGAAAGUGACUAUCCUAUCAACUCUUCAUGAACACUGCACAUCUGCAAUGUCAGCGUUUAGAAAAUUGAGAAAUGCAGGAUGAUUAAUUGAAACUGAAAAAAACUAUGAGGAAUUCUCUGAAUAUACAAAGAACCAGUUUAUUUGUAUGAAACUUUGAGAAGGGCCUUCCAUAUAAAUGGUGUUAAACGAUUAAAAAAAUUAUGCUACAA